GUGGUAAUGCCGGAUGCUCCAGUUGAUCGCAUGGUCUUCUGGGAAAGCUUUCGCGGUAUGGGAUGGGGUCGCGUCCUAUCAGCUUGACGGCGGGGUAACGGCCCACCGUGGCUUCGACGGGUAGCCGGCCUGAGAGGGCGACCGGCCACAUUGGGACUGAGAUACGGCCCAGACUCCUACGGGAGGCAGCAGUGGGGAAUAUUGCACAAUGGGCGCAAGCCUGAUGCAGCGACGCCGCGUGAGGGAUGGAGGCCUUCGGGUUGUAAACCUCUUUUAUCGGGGAGCAAGCGWGAGUGAGUUUACCCGUUGAAUAAGCACCGGCUAACUACGUGCCAGCAGCCGCGGUAAUACGUAGGGUGCAAGCGUUAUCCGGAAUUAUUGGGCGUAAAGGGCUCGUAGGCGGUUCGUCGCGUCCGGUGUGAAAGUCCAUCGCUUAACGGUGGAUCCGCGCCGGGUACGGGCGGGCUUGAGUGCGGUAGGGGAGACUGGAAUUCCCGGUGUAACGGUGGAAUGUGUAGAUAUCGGGAAAGAACACCA
rnacentral:rRNA from 1 species